GACGAACGCUGGCGGCGUGCUUAACACAUGCAAGUCGAACGGAAAGGCCCUGCUUGCAGGGUACUCGAGUGGCGAACGGGUGAGUAACACGUGGGUGAUCUGCCCUGCACUUCGGGAUAAGCUUGGGAAACUGGGUCUAAUACCGGAUAGGAACCAUCUUUAGUGUGGUGGUUGGAAAGUUUUUUCGGUGUAGGAUGAGCUCGCGGCCUAUCAGCUUGUUGGUGGGGUAAUGGCCUACCAAGGCGGCGACGGGUAGCCGGCCUGAGAGGGUGUACGGCCACAUUGGGACUGAGAUACGGCCCAGACUCCUACGGGAGGCAGCAGUGGGGAAUAUUGCACAAUGGGCGCAAGCCGGAUGCAGCGACGCCGCGUGGGGGAUGAAGGCCUUCGGGUUGUAAACUCCUUUCGCUAGGGACGAAGCUUUUUGUGACGGUACCUAGAUAAGAAGCACCGGCUAACUACGUG
rnacentral:rRNA from 1 species